rnacentral:rRNA from 1 species
AGAAGCUACUAAGGGCAUACGGUGGAUGCCUUGGCACAGAUAGGCGAAGAAGGACGUGGUAAGCUGCGAUAAGCUGCGGGGAGACGCAAACGAUUUUUGAUCCGCAGAUUUCCGAAUGGGGCAACCCGGCCAGAUUAACCUCUGGUCACUCUUUUACUGAACACAUAGGUAUAAGAGAGCUAACCCGGGGAACUGAAACAUCUAAGUACCCGGAGGAAAAGAAAGAGAAUUCGAUUCCCCGAGUAGCGGCGAGCGAAAAGGGAAGAGUCCAAACCGAGCUAUGUGUUAAUGCGGCGCGCGCUUAGCAUAGUCGGUGUUGCGGGAGACAAUCUGAGGGACGCGUAAUUCCUCGAAUCAGAGAGCCGUAUAGCAGAAUGGGGAAGGAAAGCCCCUCCCGUAGAGGGUGAAAGGCCCGUACGCGAAAUACGACUUGCGAUUUGGAAUGUUUUCCCAAGUAGGGCCGGACACGAGAAAUCCGGUUUGAAUCCGGGCAGACCACUGCCUAAGACUAAAUACUCAUCUGUGACCGAUAGUGAACUAGUACCGUGAGGGAAAGGUGAAAAGCACCCCUGGAGGGGAGUGAAAUAGUACCUGAAACCGUUUGCCUACAAGCUGUCGGAGCCCCUUGAGGGGUGACGGCGUGCCUUUUGCAUAAUGAGCCGGGGAGUUACUCGUACGUAGCAAGGUUAAGUCUUUAGAAGACGGAGCCGGAGGGAAACCGAGUCUGAAUAGGGCGUCAAGUUGCGUGCGGUAGACCCGAAGCCAGGUGAUCUACCCAUGGUCAGGUUGAAGCUUGGGUAAAACCAAGUGGAGGACCGAACCCACUAACAAUGAAAAGUUAGGGGAUGAACUGUGGGUAGGGGUGAAAGGCCAAUCAAACCUGGAGAUAGCUGGUUCUCUCCGAAAUAGCUUUAGGGCUAGCGUUGUGAGUGUAGUGUGCCGGAGGUAGAGCACUGAAAGGGUAAGGGGGCCUACCAGCUUACCAACCCCUAUCAAACUCCGAAUUCCGGACACAUGUUUCACAGCAGUCAGGCAGUGGGGGAUAAGCUUCAUUGCCGAGAGGGAAACAACCCAGACCUACAGCUAAGGCCCCUAAGAGUAUACUGAGUGUAUCUAAGGAAGUGGAAGCGCUCAGACAACUGGGAUGUUGGCUUAGAAGCAGCCAUUCAUUUAAAGAGUGCGUAACAGCUCACCAGUCAAGCGAUUCUGCGCCGAUAAUAAUCGGGCUAAGUAUACCGCCGAAGCUUAGGAUUGUACUUUGUACAAUGGUAGGAGAGCGUUCCAUUUGCGUCGAAGGUGAGCUGUAAGGCUUGCUGGAGCGUAUGGAAGAGAUCAUCCCGGCAUCAGUAGCGACAAUGAGGGUGAGAAACCUUCACACCGAAAGACUAAGGUUUCCUGGGCAAGGCUGAUCCACCCAGGGUAAGUCGGAUCCUAAGGCGAGGCCGAAGGGCGUAGUCGAUGGACAACAGGUUAAUAUUCCUGUACCGCCGGUACAGUGUUUGAGCGAUGGAGUGACGCAGAAGGUAAGACCAUCCGGGUGAUGGAAGUCCCGGUUCAAGCGUGUAGGAAGAGAGGGCAGGCAAAUCCGUUCUCUCAUUUUCUGAGGCGUUAUGACGAGGCUCUUAGAGCCGCAAAGUGGUUGGGUCCAUGCUGCCGAGAAAACCUUCUAAGCGAAUUGUACAGGCGUCCGUACCGCAAACCGACACAGGUAGUCGAGGAGAGUAUCCUAAGGUGUUCGAGAUAACCAUGGUUAAGGAACUAGGCAAAAUCGUCCCGUAACUUCGGGAGAAGGGACGCCACAGAUUGUGAAGAGACUUGCUCUCGGAGCAUGACGUGGCCGCAGAAAAACGGCUCGGGCGACUGUUUACUAAAAACACAGGUCUCUGCUAAGUCGCAAGACGACGUAUAGGGACUGACACCUGCCCGGUGCUGGAGCGUUAAGGGGAAGGGUUAGCCUUCAUUUAUGUUGGCGAAGCUUUGAACUGAAGCCCCAGUAAACGGCGGCCGUAACUAUAACGGUCCUAAGGUAGCGAAAUUCCUCGUCGGGUAAAUUCCGACCCGCACGAAUGGUGCAACGACUUGGGCACUGUCUCAACCAUGGACUCGGCGAAGUUGCAGUAGCGGUGAAGAUACCGUUUACCCGCAGAAGGACAGAAAGACCCCGUGAACCUUUACUACAAUUUGAUAUUGGGUUUCGUCAUGUGGUGUGUAGGAUAGGCGGGAGACUAUGAAGCCGGGACGCCAGUACCGGUGGAGUCAACCUUGAAAUACCGCCCUCUAUAUGUUGGAAUUCUAACGGAGAUCCGUUAUCCGGAUCCCGGACAUUGUCAGGUGGGUAGUUUGACUGGGGUGGUCGCCUCCCAAAAUGUAACGGAGGCGCCCUAAGGUUCCCUCAGCGCGGUCGGCAAUCGCGCGUCGAGUGUAAACGCACAAGGGAGCUUGACUGCGAGACAGACAAGUCGAGCAGGUACGAAAGUAGGGGUUAGUGAUCCUGCGGCACUGAGUGGAAAGGCCGUGGCUCAUCGGAUAAAAGGUACUCCGGGGAUAACAGGCUUAUCGCCACCGAGAGUUCGUAUCGACGUGGCGGGUUGGCACCUCGAUGUCGGCUCAGCGCAUCCUGGGGCUGGACCAGGUCCCAAGGGUUGGGCUGUUCGCCCAUUAAAGCGCUACGCGAGCUGGGUUUAGAACGUCGCGAGACAGUUCGGUCCCUAUCCUCUGCGGGCGUAGGAAGUUUGAGAGGUUCUGUCUUUAGUACGAGAGGACCGAGAUGGACAAACCUCUAGUGUACCAGUUGUCACGCCAGUGGCAUCGCUGGGUAGCUAUGUUUGGAACAGGAUAAGCGCUGAAAGCAUCUAAGUGCGAAACCUGCCUCAAGAUAAGACUUCCCGAUCGAAAGAUCCUCAAGGCCACUUGGAGACUACAAGUUUGAUAGGCUGCAGGUGUAAGCAUGGCAACAUGUUCAGCCGAGCAGUACUAAUCGGCCGUGAGGCUUCAUCAC